CACAAUGUUGUGAUUGCAGCUUAAGAAACUCCAUGCCAUUGGAUACAAGCCUGUUCUGCUUCUUGGCAAGGAGACCAAAAAGAAUGAAUUCAAGUUUGAAAUAUUAACCCCUCUCUGCCCACUCUACACCUAUGCCCAGGACUACCUUCAGAAGAUGGGUUCACUUUAUGAAUACCUUUGUGAAGUCCCCAAAAGAGAGCAAGCUUUUGGGAAUGUUGGGAAGAGCACAACACAUGCAUGUCAAGUUCCAGCUUACCACAUUUGCAAUUUGGCAUCCAGGAACCCACAGAAUUUGACUAGGAGGGAACCAGGAUUCCAGUGGCAAUGAUGACCAGCUGAUGACGCUGCGUCUCACACCCUGUGAUCCAUUGGAGAACACAAGUGUAACCCACCUAUGGAUACUGAAGUGCAACACUCUACUCUGCCUGCAGGUGGCCCAUACACCCCAG